AUAAUGGCAGGCUGCUGGUACUCUACCUGUCCUUCAGGAAUUCAAGAAAUUAAAGAAACAGCUAAACAAAGUCAAGAAAUAGUUGGAAACACCCUGAAAAUGAUAGAAAUCAUCUUCAAUAGAGCUGUAGGGUGUCAGUGUCCAGAGCUGCUGGAACUGGUUGCUGGCCUGAAUACUGACCAAGGAAGUUCUGGCUAUGCAGUGUGGAGCUGUGAUUUGCUCUUUUGCAAGCAGGCAUAAACCAGCAAGCUGUGGGAAAAUAUGCCCAGUUUCAAACUGUCUGCCAUCAGCAUCUCAUCUUGAGAGAAGAUCCAGGCUUUGGGAGACAAAAAAUUAUCUGUGAUUCAUCUUUGUGAUUUUAAUAGGCCACAAUUACAUCCAAGGAUGAAAACUCUGUUAAGAACUAGGGUGCUUGAGACUAGGAUCUAUAUUUUGCACUGCAAGUUCCACUUUGACAUUUAAAAUAUUUUUACACUGGCUUAUCUGAGUUAGAUAGUGAGUCCCUUGGAGAAGUAAAAUAAUACAGAUAAUUUGGUUUAACUUUUUACAAGAGGAGUUGUAGAGGAUGUGUUUUCUCUGUUUCCUUGAAUACUAGAGAUUUCAUGUCACAAUUCAGCCACACGUACAUUUUCUAUUUCAUUACAGCACCUGGAAUAUGCAUGAAAAAUUCCCAUAAAUUGUUAAGACAUGAACAAGACUUCAGGAGUUACCUCAAGCAGGAACAUCCCGAUUAGGGUCAGAUAGAGUUGUACAGGGAAAGCAGAAGCUUCAUCAUCUACAUAGACUUCUUAAUGCUGCUCUUGCUUUUCUAAGAAUCCAGGAAUUGUAUGAGAAUAUUCUCUUCCCAUUUUGAGGCUGAAGUUGCUUUUGCAUUUGGCAUUCAUCUGACUAAGCUCAAAAGAUAAUGAAUUAGACCAUAUGCAUAGCUUGGACUAAAAGCCAAUCCACUGCAUUUUAAAAUCGGUUUUUAUAAGCAUUUGCACAAUCAUAAGUGUGUGACACGGAUCAGAACCUCCACCCUCAAAGCUGAAAUUAGAUGUGCAGAUUGAUUUACUAAUCUUACUAACCAUUUCACAGAAAUUCAAAUUCUUUCCAUUCACUUAUGAAUAUUUGCCUAGCAUUUUUAAGUAUUUUGCAAGUCAUGAAUAUUUUCACAGAAAAGGACAGAUUACUGACUAUCUCCAAGGGCAUUGAUAUUAUUAACAGAAAAGCUGGUUUAAAUAGUCUUAUAAAAUAUGACCAGACAACUUUUAAUGAGACUCAUUUAGUCUGGAUAAAAGAACAGAGAGGACCUAGAAAAACCUGGUAAGUUAUUCUAAUUUAGGUGGUGGGAGUUUUUUUGUUUAGUAAACCUAGAUGGACUUUUCCCAUCAAUGUAUUGAGUUAUUUUGAAAAUCUGAUUUUCUAUAAUUUAAAUUAAAAGCCCUUGAUAAUUUACAAUGUCUUGGAAUAAUGAGUGAUUCAAGUUAACUUUUUUUUGUGAAGACCUACCUCUUGUGCUUAUCUGGAAACUCCUAUUUUAUUUCAGUUUAUUCUACAGUGAAUAAAGUUGAAGGUUUUCUGAGGUGGUUUUUUGUUUGUUUGUGGGGGUUUUUUGUUUGUUUGGGGGUUUUUGUUUUUGGUUUUUUUUAAUAGCUGGUAUAGUUGAGUUCUGCCCCUUUCCAGUCUGAAGAGUCUUAAAUUGUUCAAAUUUUUACCAUAGGAAAGCUGUUCUCUAUCAUCACAAAUCUCGCCUUUUUCCCCUGGAACAUCUCAAUUCUUUGACCUUGUCUGAGCUGUUUCAAACAAAACACAGUGUCAAAGAUGAAGCUAUGUCAUAGCUAAACAUACAAUGGCAUAAUGGCAUUCACUGCUUAGUCCUUUACCAUUUUAUGAACAACUUGCCUCUUCCUUCCAUUUUCUGAAUGGAGAACCAAUAUUCCUUGCAGAGCAAUCUGGAAGAUUUGGAGCCACCUUGCAAUGGCAACAUCUGCCUAAUGGAGAAAAAGAAUCAUUAUGAACCUAGUCAGUAGUGGUGGGCAAAAUUUCCAGUCUGGAUUCCCAGACUUAUCUUUGCCCAUGAUGUAAGAAGGUGAGCUGGGAGGCACCUACCAACUGCUAGGACAGGUCUUUUGUUUCCAAAAGUUGUCAAGGAAUAUUAAUACCCCAAGGCUUGCAGAGUAGUAAUAUUCUAGAAUUGCAUUAGAAAUCACUUCUUAACUAGUCUUGCAAAAUUUAUUUUUAUUGGCUAUACCACAGUAGAAGUCUUAGCAAGGAUGAUGCAAAAGACUGCAAACUUGUGGCUGGAGAUGGUUUCGGCCUCUUGUGAAGCCUCUUUAAAGGCAGGAUCAUUAUAUCCAAUUCCCUCCCAGGAGGGUAGCUUGCUUUAUGACUAAUAGCACAGUUAAGUGGCACAGCUAGAGUUCUUGGCAAACAACAUAUGGUGUUUUUGAGCAUUGUAUAUGUUUCACUGAGUAUGUUUCCC